CUACUGUUAUAAUCGAUGUCAUAUUGGAAAAUAGAUGUGUUGUGCCCUGAUGUGCGCUGCUUGGAUAUACUAAGUGAUGCUUUUCCUUUGAAAAAUUCUACAAUAUAUCGAUGCAGCCUUUAAAGCAUUCUAAUCUGAAGCUAACCCAUCUUUCAUUUGUCUGGAAGAAUUGCAAAGGAUUAAAGGUGUGCGAGCCUCACACAUAUCCCUGUGGUACCCGGGUGGAUCAUUUCGGACGCCAUGAACUCGGCUACCGCAAAAGUUCUGGUCGUGAAUAUCGCCAUGGAUCUCUUAAUGACAUACUUCGUCAAGCUUUGGCGCAGCAUCGAUUCGUACUACUUUGGAACCGAAUGGUUUAAGCAGAGACUUACCAUCAGAUAAGAGACCCGAUGGAGCAACAUUAGUGCCAUCGUCAAUGAGACGUGUUCUUGUGUGGGAUGCAAAUGCUUAGAAACGCUGGUAGUAUCUCAUAUCAAGAAUAUGUCUCGUAAAACCAGUACAGGCGCGAAAGCUGCUCAAAUACUCAAGCGCCGUCUAUAAAUAUGAAUAUGAAAUUGCGGGCCUGGAUUUUGAAACAUUAGGUCGUCUGGAUACUACAAAAAUUCCAAAAAAGAUCUAUCUAAGAAACUGGUCCACACUUCUGGUGACCCAAGAGCUGGCGCUUAUUUAGCCCAAAGGCUGAGUCUAGCGGUGCAAAUAGGCAAUAGUGCCAGCGCCUUGGGUACAAUGCCACAGGACAAUCUUUUAGAAGGCGUGUUUUUGAUAAAAAUUUGU